UAGAUUAGGAGCAUAUCAUUAGGGAUAUAUUAGGGACAGUAGCAGUUGUUAUGGUAAAUAGCCAUUUUAGGGGGGACUGUUGUGGAAAUAAGGUCUACACAUAUUUCCUAGUUAAAGGAAAAUGUCUAUUUACUCAUCUCACACUAUGCUAUAGAGUUAAGCACACAUGUUUAAUCAAAAUGGCUGCUAGAAGCUUCUAACCCCUUCCUCCCCCUGCCCCUUUAAACACCGACUAACUACCUCGUGCAGCAAGAUGGCGCUGGAAUCCUGGGGGAGAACUCCAUGACGACAGUAAUGACAUAAGAAGGCACACCCUGUAGGACGUGCUUUGAAUAAGACACUUAACACUUAACCAAUUAUUGAUGUAUUAUUUCAUGUUAUCUCUGACAAUGCUUAUGAUGUAAUUUUGCUUUAAAAGGGACCUGCCGUCCCCUCUGAAUAAACUUUCCUCAAGUUAUUCAACAACCUGGAACCUGUGUCUGGUGUGAAUUACUUCAGGGAGCGUGCACGCAUUGUUUCAUUGAUUUGGC